GAUGAACGCUGGCGGCGUGCCUAAUACAUGCAAGUCGAGCGAGCGGACGAGAAGCUUGCUUCUCUGAUGUUAGCGGCGGACGGGUGAGUAACACGUGGAUAACCUACCUAUAAGACUGGGAUAACUUCGGGAAACCGGAGCUAAUACCGGAUAAUAUUUUGAACCGCAUGGUUCAAAAGUGAAAGACGGUCUUGCUGUCACUUAUAGAUGGAUCCGCGCUGCAUUAGCUAGUUGGUAAGGUAACGGCUUACCAAGGCAACGAUGCAUAGCCGACCUGAGAGGGUGAUCGGCCACACUGGAACUGAGACACGGUCCAGACUCCUACGGGAGGCAGCAGUAGGGAAUCUUCCGCAAUGGGCGCAAGCCUGACGGAGCAACGCCGCGUGAGUGAUGAAGGUCUUCGGAUCGUAAAACUCUGUUAUUAGGGAAGAACAUAUGUGUAAGUAACUGUGCACAUCUUGACGGUACCUAAUCAGAAAGCCACGGCUAACUACGUG
rnacentral:rRNA from 1 species